rnacentral:tRNA from 3 species
GCCGCUGUAGCUUAGCUGGUAGAGCAACCGCCUUGUAAGCGGUAGGUCGUAGGUUCGAAUCCUAUUAGCGGCACCA